rnacentral:rRNA from 1 species
GGUGGGGUAACGGCUCACCUAGGCGACGAUCCCUAGCUGGUCUGAGAGGAUGACCAGCCACACUGGAACUGAGACACGGUCCAGACUCCUACGGGAGGCAGCAGUGGGGAAUAUUGCACAAUGGGCGCAAGCCUGAUGCAGCCAUGCCGCGUGUAUGAAGAAGGCCUUCGGGUUGUAAAGUACUUUCAGCGGGGAGGAAGGGAGUAAAGUUAAUACCUUUGCUCAUUGACGUUACCCGCAGAAGAAGCACCGGCUAACUCCGUGCCAGCAGCCGCGGUAAUACGGAGGGUGCAAGCGUUAAUCGGAAUUACUGGGCGUAAAGCGCACGCAGGCGGUUUGUUAAGUCAGAUGUGAAAUCCCCGGGCUCAACCUGGGAACUGCAUCUGAUACUGGCAAGCUUGAGUCUCGUAGAGGGGGGUAGAAUUCCAGGUGUAGCGGUGAAAUGCGUAGAGAUCUGGAGGAAUACCGGUGGCGAAGGCGGCCCCCUGGACGAAGACUGACG